AAGCGCUUGUGACCAGACUUGUGCCCGGUGAAUCAUCCAGCGUUCUCGCUGGUGCACUUUGCCGGGCUCAGGCCAGCAUCGGUUCUCCCAGGGGGAUAAAGGUCUCGGGAACGUAGCUCUCUUCGGGGAGUGUUAUAGCCCGUGGCAUAAUACCUUUGGGGGGACCGAGGACCGCGCUCUGCAAGGAUGCUGGCGUAAUGGUCAUCAGCGA
rnacentral:rRNA from 1 species